rnacentral:rRNA from 1 species
AAGCUGCUCUCUGGCGACGAGUGGCGGACGGGUGAGUAACGCGUGGGAAUCUGCCUACUAGCGGGGGAUAGCCCGGAGAAAUCCGGAUUAAUACCGCAUACGCCCUACGGGGGAAAGCUGGGGAUCUUCGGACCUGGCACUAGUAGAUGAGCCCGCGUUAGAUUAGCUUGUUGGUGGGGUAAUGGCCUACCAAGGCGACGAUCUAUAGCUGGUCUGAGAGGACGAUCAGCCACACUGGGACUGAGACACGGCCCAGACUCCUACGGGAGGCAGCAGUGGGGAAUAUUGCACAAUGGGCGAAAGCCUGAUGCAGCAAUACCGCGUGUGUGAAGAAGGCCUGCGGGUUGUAAAGCACUUUCAAUAGUGAAGAAAAAUUGUCGGUUAAUACCCGACGAUCUUGACGUUAACUAUACAAGAAGCACCGGCUAACUCCGUGCCAGCAGCCGCGGUAAUACGGAGGGUGCAAGCGUUAAUCGGAAUUACUGGGCGUAAAGAGUACGUAGGUGGUCUGUUAAGUCAGAUGUGAAAGCCCCGGGCUUAACCUGGGAACUGCAUUUGAUACUGGCAGACUAGAAUAUGGUAGAGGGAGGUAGAAUUUCUGGUGUAGCGGUGAAAUGCGUAGAUAUCAGAAGGAAUACCAGUGGCGAAGGCGGCCUCCUGGACCAAUAUUGACACUGAGGUACGAAAGCGUGGGUAGCGAACAGGAUUAGAUACCCUGGUAGUCCACGCCGUAAACGAUGUCAACUAGCCGUUGGCCUCUUGAGAGGUCAGUGGCGCAGCCAACGCGUGAAGUUGACCGCCUGGGGAGUACGGCCGCAAGGCUAAAACUCAAAUGAAUUGACGGGGGCCCGCACAAGCGGUGGAGCAUGUGGUUUAAUUCGAUGCAACGCGAAGAACCUUACCUACCCUUGACAUCCUCAGAACUUGUUAGAGAUAACUUGGUGCCUUCGGGAACUGAGUGACAGGUGCUGCA